rnacentral:rRNA from 1 species
UACGAAGGGGGCUAGCGUUGUUCGGAAUUACUGGGCGUAAAGGGCGCGUAGGCGGUCUGUUAAGUUCGGUGUGAAAGCCCCCGGCUUACCCGGGGAACUGCGCCGGAAACCGACAGACUCGAGUACCGGAGAGGAGGGUGGAAUUCCUGGUGUAGCGGUGAAAUGCGUAGAUAUCUGGAGGAACACCGGUGGCGAAGGCGGCGUCCUGGACCAACACUGACACUGAUGAGCGAAAGCCAGGGGAGCAAACGGG